AACGGACGCUGGCGGCAGGCUUAACACAUGCAAGUCGAACGCCCCGCAAGGGGAGUGGCGCACGGGUGAGUAACGCGUGGGAAUAUGCCCUUCGGUUCGGAAUAACACAGGGAAACUUGUGCUAAUACCGGAUACGAUCUACGGAUGAAAGAUUCAUCGCCGAAGGAGUAGCCCGCGUAGGAUUAGCUAGUUGGUGAGGUAAUGGCUCACCAAGGCGACGAUCCUUAGCUGGUCUGAGAGGAUGAUCAGCCACACUGGGACUGAGACACGGCCCAGACUCCUACGGGAGGCAGCAGUGGGGAAUAUUGGACAAUGGGGGAAACCCUGAUCCAGCCAUGCCGCGUGAGUGAUGAAGGCCUUAGGGUUGUAAAGCUCUUUCGCCAGGGAAGAUAAUGACGGUACCUGGAAAAGAAGCCUCGGCUAACUCCGUGCCAGCCGCCGCCGUAAUAC
rnacentral:rRNA from 1 species